rnacentral:lncRNA from 1 species
GAGGGGGACCAUGAAGGAGAGAACCUCCUAAGGACCCCCUGCCCUGAGCAGCAGCCCCGUUGGGGAACUCAGCGCUAAAAGUUCUGGGACUGGAAAGUUUGGUUUUGGACUGUUGGAUCUGCCUUGUGCUGUUCCAGCCACAGCUGACUUCCAGACAUUGGCCUCUGAAGAUACAUGGCCACACCGUGACAGCUCCUCCUUUGUCUCUCUGAAGAUUAUGGGGAAGCAGCAGGACUAGAGGGCUUUGGAAUGUCCCUUCUCACACCAUUUACUGAGCUCUGGUCCUGAGGAGCCCCCAGCACCAUCACCUGUCUUCUGUGGCAGCCAGAGAAUGGAGAUGGGUAUAAAACACUCUCAGCACUAAACAAUGGAUUUAUUGCAGAAAACAGCUGGUUAAGCCAAGAUCUUGGCAUGUCCAUGAAACUGAGCUGCAGAGGAUCCACUCACUUGAGCCCCAUUUUGGUCUCUAGGUCACAUGAACAUGCAAGACAGGAUUAAGCUCAUUCCGUGAAAGCACCUGGUGAAUCCAUCAUUAUUUGGAAUAUCCUUGAGCUGUUUUUUGUAAUCAGUUGAAGUUUAGAACAGAGUGAAG